CCUACGGGCGGCAGCAGUGGGGAAUAUUGGACAAUGGUCGGAAGACUGAUCCAGCCAUGCCGCGUGCAGGACGACGGUCCUAUGGAUUGUAAACUGCUUUUGUAAGGGAAGAAUAAGGAGUACGUGUACUUUGAUGACGGUACCUUACGAAUAAGCAUCGGCUAACUCCGUGCCAGCAGCCGCGGUAAUACGGAGGAUGCGAGCGUUAUCCGGAAUCAUUGGGUUUAAAGGGUCCGUAGGCGGGCAUAUAAGUCAGAGGUGAAAGCGCUUAGCUCAACUAAGCAACUGCCUUUGAAACUGUAAGUCUUGAAUGAUUGUGAAGUAGUUGGAAUGUGUAGUGUAGCGGUGAAAUGCUUAGAUAUUACACAGAACACCGAUAGCGAAGGCAUAUUACUAACAAUUAAUUGACGCUGAUGGACGAAAGCGUGGGGAGCGAACAGGAUUAGAUACCCUUGUAGUC
rnacentral:rRNA from 1 species